GACUUUUUGGGUCAGUUUCAUCUGGAAGUGGCCAGGAAGGGUCUUGUCCUUGAAGACUGUGUUGCACGGAUGCUCUUGAACUCCCUCAGCACCACCUCCCAAGAGGAGCAGCUCCUGGCUUAUCCAGCUUGAUGAAACAACCACACCUGCAAACUGCAGAGCCUCCUUUCACAGGGCCUCCAAACUUUGGCUGCUGCUGAGCUGCCCACACUCCUGAGCACUGCCACAGAAGCAGGGAGACCUCCCAUCCCUCAGGAUCAUAUCCCUACCACGCCUCUCACUAGAAGAGCUAAACAAAAAUCCCAGCCACUCUGAAAAAGAAUCCUGUCUCCUCCUUCAGUGAUAAGUGAUUUCCUCAUCGACGUGAUCUAUCCAGCAGAGAAAUGGAUAUCCCUUUUUACAAGCUGUGACAAGUUUUGGCAGAAAGCAACCUGAUGAAAAUCAACAAGAGCAAGUGGGGAGUACUGCAUCAAGGGAGGAGUAACCCCAGCUUAAGAGCUGACCUGCUGGAAAGCAAGGACCUGGGAAUCUUUGGUGGAUAAUAGGAUGAUCAUGAGCCAGCAAUAUGCCUUUGUGGCCAGUGGUGUACUGGGAAUGCAGCAAGAAUCAUGGAGUUACAGA